rnacentral:rRNA from 1 species
AACGAACGCUGGCGGCAUGCCUAACACAUGCAAGUCGAACGAGACCUUCGGGUCUAGUGGCGCACGGGUGCGUAACGCGUGGGAAUCUGCCCUUGGGUUCGGGAUAACAGUUGGAAACGACUGCUAAUACCGGAUGAUGACUUCGGUCCAAAGAUUUAUCGCCCAGGGAUGAGCCCGCGUCGGAUUAGCUAGUUGGUGAGGUAAGAGCUCACCAAGGCGACGAUCCGUAGCUGGUCUGAGAGGAUGAUCAGCCACACUGGGACUGAGACACGGCCCAGACUCCUACGGGAGGCAGCAGUGGGGAAUAUGGGACAAUGGGCGAAAGCCUGAUCCAGCAAUGCCGCGUGAGUGAUGAAGGCCUUAGGGUUGUAAAGCUCUUUUACCCGGGAUGAUAAUGACAGUACCGGGAGAAUAAGCCCCGGCUAACUCCGU